rnacentral:rRNA from 1 species
GUGGGGAAUCUUGCACAAUGGGCGAAAGCCUGAUGCAGCGACGCCGCGUGGGGGAUGAAGCUUUUCGGAGUGUAAACCCCUUUCGACUGGGACGAAUGCCUCGCAAGAGGAGUGACGGUACCAGUAUAAGAAGCCCCGGCUAACUACGUGCCAGCAGCCGCGGUAAGACGUAGGGGGCCAGCGUUGUUCGGAAUUACUGGGUGUAAAGGGUUCGUAGGCGGUGUGGCAAGUCGGGAGUGAAAUCUCUGGGCUCAACCCAGAGACUGCUUCCGAAACUGCUGUGCUUGAGUGUGAGAGAGGCUCGUGGAAUUGCAGGUGUAGCGGUGAAAUGCGUAGAUAUCUGCAGGAACACCCGUGGCGAAAGCGGCGAGCUGGAUCACUACUGACGCUGAGGAACGAAAGCUAGGGGAGCAAACAGGAUUAGAUACCCUUGUAGUCC